UACAUAGGGGGCUAGCGUUAUCCGGAAUUACUGGGCGUAAAGGGUGCGUAGGUGGUUUCUUAAGUCAGAGGUGAAAGGCUACGGCUCAACCGUAGUAAGCCUUUGAAACUGGGAAACUUGAGUGCAGGAGAGGAGAGUGGAAUUCCUAGUGUAGCGGUGAAAUGCGUAGAUAUUAGGAGGAACACCAGUUGCGAAGGCGGCUCUCUGGACUGUAACUGACACUGAGGCACGAAAGCGUGGGGAGCAAACAGGAUUAGAUACCCUGGUAGUCCCUGA
rnacentral:rRNA from 1 species